AUUGAACGCUGGCGGCAGGCCUAACACAUGCAAGUCGAACGAGUGGCGGACGGGUGAGUAAUGUCUGGGAAACUGCCUGAUGUCGGGGGAUAACUACUGGAAACGGUAGCUAAUACCGCAUACCAUCGGAUGUGCCCAGAUGGGAUUAGCUAGUAGGUGGGGUAAAGGCUCACCUAGGCGACGAUCCCUAGCUGGUCUGAGAGGAUGACCAGCCACACUGGAACUGAGACACGGUACAGACUCCUACGGGAGGCAGCAGUGGGGAAUAUUGCAGAAUGGGCGCAAGACUGAUGCAGCCAUGCAGAGGGUAUGAAGAAGGACUUCGGGGUGUAAAGGAAGUUCAGCGGGGAGGCGUUACCCGCAGAAGAAGCACCGGCGAAGUCCGUGCCAGCAGACGCGGUAAUAC
rnacentral:rRNA from 1 species